rnacentral:rRNA from 1 species
UACGUAGGGUGCGAGCGUUAAUCGGAAUUACUGGGCGUAAAGCGUGCGCAGGCGGUUCGUUAAGUUCGUUGUGAAAGCCCCGGGCUCAACCUGGGAACUGCAAUGGAAACUGGCGGGCUUGAGUGUGGCAGAGGGGGGUGGAAUUCCGCGUGUAGCAGUGAAAUGCGUAGAGAUGCGGAGGAACACCGAUGGCGAAGGCAGCCCCCUGGGCCGACACUGACGCUCAGGCACGAAAGCGUGGGGAGCAAACAGG